rnacentral:rRNA from 1 species
UACAGAGGAUGCAAGCGUUAUCCGGAAUGAUUGGGCGUAAAGCGUCUGUAGGCGGCUUUUUAAGUCCGCCGUCAAAUCCCAGGGCUCAACUCUGGACAGGCGGUGGAAACUACCAAGCUGGAGUACGGUAGGGGCAGAGGGAAUUUCCAGUGGAGCGGUGAAAUGCGUAGAGAUCGGAAAGAACACCAACGGCGAAAGCGCUCUGCUGGGCCGACACUGACGCUGAGAGACGAAAGCUAGGGGAGCGAAUGGG